rnacentral:lncRNA from 1 species
AAGGAGUAUUUUCACCAAACAUACAAACACUUACACGUGUAUGAAAGGUAUUUAACCUCUCCUUUCCUUCCUUUAUUUCUCUUCUUUUAUUUUUAUUAUUCCAUACUCUUUCCGUUGUAAUGAGUAUUAGAGCAUUUUCAACGAACAUACAUAUAUAAAAGGGUUUUAACCUCUUCCUUCCUUCCUUCAUUUAAUUUUUAUUAUUAUUAUUAUUAUUAUUACUACUCCAUACUCUCCCUCUCCCUCUCCCUCUCGCUAUGUAUUUUGUUACCCACAAAUCUCACGUUUUCACCGAACAUACAUACAUUCUUACAUAUAUGAAAGGUAUUUAACCUCUCCCUUCCUUCUUUUAUCGACUCUCUUUUAUUUUUAUUAUUCCAUACUCUUUCCUUUGUAAUGAGUAUCAGAGCAUUUUCAACGAACAUACAUCUAUAAAAGGUAUUUAACCUCUUCCUUCCUUCCUUCAUUUAAUUUCUUUUAUCAUCAUUAUUAUUAUUAUUACUCCAUACUCUCCCGCUCCCUCUCUCUAUGUAUUUUGUUACCCACAAAUCUCACGUUUUCAAAUUUGAUGGUUAGCGUAUUUUCACCGUGCAGCAUGUAACCGUACGAAUAUUAUUUAACCGAGCAUUUUCAUCUUUAUUCUUAAAUACAAAGAUUUUUAACCUCUCCCUUCCUUCCUUCCUUAAUUUAAUUUCUUUUAUUAUUACUCCAUAUCCUCUCUAUCUCUCUCUAUUUAUUUUAUUAUCAACAAAUCUAUCUUUUUAUAUUUGACGGUUAGAGCAUUUUCACCGUGCGGAUAUUAUUCUUGAAUACAAAGGUUUUUAACCUCUUCCUUCCUUCCUUCCUGAAUUAAAUUCAAUUUAAUUUAUCAUAUUCUCUCUAUCUGAUUAUUCUAUCAUCCACAAUCCUCAUCUGAUCAAAUUAUUAUUGUUUUUCUUUGAAUAUUCGCAACUGUUUUUCA